rnacentral:rRNA from 1 species
GACAGAGGGGGCAAGCGUUGCUCGGAAUUACUGGGCGUAAAGGGCGCGUAGGCGGGAUGGCAAGUCGGUCGUGAAAUCCCUCGGCUCAACUGAGGAUCGUCGAUCGAUACUGCCGUUCUUGAGGAUUGCAGAGGAGACUGGAAUUCCCGGUGUAGCGGUGAAAUGUGUAGAGAUCGGGAGGAACACCUGCGGCGAAGGCGGGUUGCUGGGCUGACACUGACGCUGAGGCGCGAAAGCUAGGGGAGCGAACGGG